UACGUAGGGGGCGAGCGUUGUCCGGAUUUAUUGGGCGUAAAGAGCUCGUAGGCGGUUUGGUAAGUUGGAUGUGAAAUCUCCAGGCUCAACUUGGAGGGGUCAUUCGAUACUGCCAUGACUAGAGUUCGGUAGGGGAGUGUGGAAUUCCUGGUGGAGCGGUGAAAUGUGUAGAGAUCGGGAGGAACACCGGUGGCGAAGGCGGGUCUCUGGGCAACUCCUGACGCUGAGGCGCGAAAGCGUGGGGAGCAAACGGG
rnacentral:rRNA from 1 species